rnacentral:rRNA from 1 species
UACGUAGGGUGCAAGCGUUAAUCGGAAUUACUGGGCGUAAAGCGUGCGCAGGCGGUUUUGUAAGACUGUCGUGAAAUCCCCGGGCUCAACCUGGGAAUGGCGAUGGUGACUGCAAGGCUAGAGUUUGGCAGAGGGGGGUAGAAUUCCACGUGUAGCAGUGAAAUGCGUAGAUAUGCGGAGGAACACCGAUGGCGAAGGCAAUCCCCUGGGCCUGUACUGACGCUCAUGCACGAAAGCGUGGGGAGCAAACAGG